AACGAACGCUGGCGGCAUGCCUAACACAUGCAAGUCGAACGAGACCUUCGGGUCUAGUGGCGCACGGGUGCGUAACGCGUGGGAACCUGCCCUUAGGUUCGGAAUAACUCCCCGAAAGGGGUGCUAAUACCGGAUAAUGUCUUCGGACCAAAGAUUUAUCGCCUUUGGAUGGGCCCGCGUUGGAUUAGCUAGUUGGUAGGGUAAAAGCCUACCAAGGCGACGAUCCAUAGCUGGUCUGAGAGGAUGAUCAGCCACACUGGGACUGAGACACGGCCCAGACCCCCAAGGGGGGGGAGGGUGGGGGAAAUUGGGCAAUGGGGGAAAACCUUGACCAGGCAAGGCCCGGGGGGUGAAAAAGGCUUUGGGUUUGUAAAGCUCUUUUCCCCGGGAUGAAAAUGACAGGACGGGGAGAAUAAGCCGCGGCAAACCCCGU
rnacentral:rRNA from 1 species